rnacentral:lncRNA from 1 species
CUGCCAUUAUAAUCAUAGUUGGAGCAUUGUUUUUACCCGAUACACCAAACUCCUUGGUCGAGCGUGGCAAGCAUGAGGAAGCCAAAGCUCAGCUUCUUAAGCUCAGAGGAGUUCCUAAUGUUGAUGAGGAGUUUAAUGAUCUAGUUGCGGCCAGUGAAGUAUCCAAGUUGGUAAAACACCCUUGGGUUACCUUGUUGAGCAGGAAAUAUAGACCCCAGCUUGUAUUUGCAAUCGGCAUCCCCGCCUUCCAGCAACUCACCGGCAUGAACGUGAUCACGUUUUAUGCUCCUGUCUUGUUCAAAACAAUGGGAUUUGGAAGCAGUGCUUCUCUCAUGUCAGCUGUCAUCACCAAUCUGGUUAAUGCUUUAGCUACAUUUGUCUCAAUUCUCACUGUUGAUAAGGUUGGAAGGAGGAAGCUUUUCUUACAGGGUGGUUGCCAAAUGCUCCUCAUGCAGGUAUGUUAAAGAAUACAAGUUCCUUAUUUAUUUCCCUCUUUGUUUAUUUUCUUCUAUUUUUAUGGUUUACUUCCUUCAAUUUCAUACCCAAAAAAAUCCCAAUUUAAUGUUUUUUUAAUUUUGUUGGCAUUUUUAGGUGGCUGUUGGAAUUGCUAUGGCUGUUAAAUUUGGGGUCAGCGGCAACCCUGGGAAGUUGACACUGGGGUUUGCUGUUCCCUUGGUGCUCUUGAUCUGUGUUUACGUUGCUGGAUUUGCCUGGUCAUGGGGACCUCUAGGAUGGUUGGUGCCCAGUGAAAUUUUCCCACUUGAAGUAAGGUCUGCUGCUCAGGCUAUCAAUGUCUCCGUCAACAUGAUCUUCACCUUUGCCAUAGCCCAAGUCUUCACAGCCAUGCUCUGCCACAUGAAGUUUGGCUUGUUCUUCUUCUUCUCAGUCUGCGUGGUGGUGAUGAGCAUUUUUAUCUACAAAUUGUUGCCCGAAACGAAAGGAGUUCCAAUUGAAGAAAUGCACACUGUGUGGGAGAACCAUCCAUUUUGGAGGAAAUAUGUGGUUAAAGAUGAAGCCAUUGCCAUGGGCAAAGGCAAGGGCGGACAGAGUGCCUAAAGUUUGUUUUUGGUUUAGAUUUUCUUUAUGUUUUAUACAUUUUUGUAAACUUUUUAGGUUUAAUUUCGUUCUGGAAAAUUUUGUUGGAUAUUGGAUUUCUUUUUUGAUGUGUCUGAUUGGAUUAAGCUUAUUUAUUUUAAAAUUGAUUUAUCUUCAAAUUGUCAAUUGUGCCCUAGAUGCCCAAACUUAUAUAAGGGUUAUGCAUGUGUAUCCGAAGGCCCAAUUUAUUUCAACCACUUGAAUGAUAGAUUCAAAUCUUCAUAUUUUGAUAAUCAUGAAUAUUAUUAGAUGUGUUAACUUUAUCUCUAACUAAUGUUAUCCCAAUUGAUCAUAUGUGAUAAUAUUUCAUUGGUUCAUAUAUAUCUAGUGGUUUUGAAACUCAUUAUUAUAAUACGAAAUUUUAAUUUAGGGGCAAGAUCACUCAAAUAAAACUCCUCUGUAAGUCUUUUAUCAAACCCAUAAGGAUGAAAAACUACCCAUUAAAAAAAAAACGUUACAAUCAUUUAAGUGUUUAAAAACAUUUAAUUGUGCACCUAUUAAAACCGAAGUCAGAAAAUAAAUCUGUCGUGAUGGUCAAAUCAAUGAGGGCGGAAUGCAUGUUGGCCUUGAAUUAUUUAUUUGGCAUCAAUCGAUCAAGUUCACCUCUCUUGGACUUGAAAAGAGUUGGGCGGUUACACUUUUGAGGUAGUAACCUAUGUCGUUGGCCAUUAUUUGUUUGAGGAUUUAUGGAUGGUCUCUAGGCUCACGUUGAUUGUUAUUGUUUCUUUUUAUUUUCGGUUAAAAUUCAACUCAUCGUAUAAUUAAUACGUAUAACAAAUAAAAGAUUAUCAUAUUAUAUGCUACAUCAGUUAGCUUGUUCAAUAACUUAGUUAUAUAGGCUUGUCAUGGCAGAGCUAGAUGUAGGGUUAAAGUUGCCAUGACUCGUAUACCCAUCUAGCUCUGCCACUAGGAUAGUUCUGCGUCCCCUUAUUUGGGGCUGAAUCUUGUGUUUAUAUCUAAAAAAUUAUAUCCUUUUAACUUCCAUUUAACUAUCCUAAAUUCUACAUAUAAACUCUACAUAUUCAUCCUCAAUUCAUGAUGCUUAUAUAGACCUUGAACUCUAAAGAUAGAGGUGGGGUUGUUGGGGUCGAUGAUGGAUGAAGAAUGUGAAGUUGGGGUUGGUGAUGGAUGAAGAAUCCUAAAUGACACUUUUAACCCCUCAUUUUGAUGGACAAAUUGAUAGAAUUGGAUGGUAGGACUCAAUUAGAACAAUUUGUCUAGUUAGUGGACCUAAUUGGCACACACAAAAAAGUUCCAAGACCCAAUUGAAACUCGAGGUAAAAUUCAGAGACGUUUACAGUUAAAAACCCUUACAAUAAAGUUCCUUACCCUAAACGACCCCCUUAAGGUAAGGAACAGGGCCAAGUAAAUAUAGAAUUACUAGUUAGGUACAUGACAUGAAUUGCUACCGAUAUUGAUCAAACUAGCUUAUUACCAUACCCAGUAAUUAGGUGUGUACUCUUUAACACUGGACUAUCUAGUUUAUGUACUCGAUCCUAUGGGUACCAUGAAAUAUCAUAUUGCCAGAGUGUUCCGUAUUAUUCCACACUUUGAGAUUAUACACUAUACACUAUAUGCUAUAAUUCUAUUCAGCUCAAUUGGUUCCUUGUAAGUUGUACCCAAUAAUAUUGAUCAGAUAUGGUUAUCAAGCCGGAGUUUUGCUAAAUACAAAUUAUGUAUCCAGUCCAUGGAGAUAAUGCCUAUAUUAAAUAUUUUUAAUAUGUAAUAAUAUAUAAUUUACCGAAAGAACACAUAUCUUGAUUGUAGAUUAUUAAUGCUAUAAUCUCAUUAAAAAUAUUGUUAGCUAAUUAUGCUACUUGGUUGAUCCAGAUGUAUCUGCCAACUGGAACACUUAAGAGGAGCUCCGGUGUCAAUCACUUCCAUUCCUCUCUUUAGACCAUCUGUAGCACUCAUAGCUACAGCUCUAACUCGAUUAUUUCCUAAUAAUUGCUGUACUUCACAAGGUAUUUGAGGGUGAAGACAUGACAUGAGGACAUAGGGCAUUGGACCCUUAGGUAGCAAUAAGUGUGCAUAACUAAAAGUAGCCAAUUAACAAGUAACUAAUAUUAUUGCACAUUCAGUCAUUGAUCAACGGACCAAUAGCUUCAUUUCCUACUCCACACACCACUAAUCGCUUUAUGUACUCCAGCAGUGAUGUACAGAAUUGCGAGCUCACUCCUGUAUGAAACUUGAACCAUUCAAAUUCCAUAAAGCAUGCAUCACUGCUACGGUACCUCUGGCAUUGAAGACAAAAGAAUUGAAUAAGAGAAAUUUUCAAUUACCAUAAACAUAAAAUAUUAUUCCCUCAAAUUUAACAGAAGCACAAUCUGCAGCCCAUACAACAGUCAAAAAGCCAAAUGCACCCAAACCAACUUUCCAGCCAGACUUAAGAGGGAAACAAUGAUGCCUUCCAUGAAAUAACUCUGAGGUUUGCAACAUUCAUUUAUCAGUUUUGUAGCCAUCUAUUUUCUCACUCACAAUUCACAUGAAAACCUCCGAGCAACAUUGUUCUUCAAGUUUCAGUUGUAAAGAAAAACAGGAACAUGACUAAAGCCUAACAUCUCCCAUUUCCCUACAAAACCAUAUAAACACACAACGAGAACAGGGGAACCAAGACUGAUAGGAAUCUAUCUUAAUCACGGCACCAGUUUUCAGGAGUGGCCCUUCUAGACUUAACCUCUUAUUCCUUCAGCUCUACCAGCCUAUGGACGACUUCUUCAGAAAAACCUCACAAUGACAUAAAUGGAGGUAAUUAUGGAAGCCUGACAAAUUUAAUCAGGUUACUUCAGUUUCUGAUCUGAUGCCAUUUACUCGGUACCAAGAACCACCUCCAGGAAAGACAAAGGGAAAAAAACACUGGCACUAAGCUCGUUGCAACUAUUCUUAUCUCUCAAAACACCGUACACCAUUACUAUUCAUUUCAAGUUGAAUACUAUUGACAAGAUGCAUUUGUUCUCCAUUAUUAUUACAGUCAAGGUAAUUAAUUCUAGUCUUAACAGUGAUUCUAACCAUAUAACUUGUACAUAAGGGUAGCCAAGAGGUGGCCUGGAGGUCCUUAGCAGAUACAUAUCUCUCCCCUUUCAAAUUUUGCAGAACUAUUUGUAUCAGACGUCCUUGGGGCAGAUAUUAAUUUCCACUGCUCCUUCUCACCUUGUUUUCAAACUACAUGCUUUGAUGCGGGUAGAUGAAAAGGGGAGCUCCAGUGUUGUAGAAAUUAUUAGGCGAGGGUCUAUGUUUCCUAAAGUUCUUUGUGCCUUCAGUCAUGAAAUUAGCAAGUCACAGAGUUUUGAAUUCAAAGGCAAAGGAGCUACUAUCACAUUGGAAUUUGAUUUGUACUUGCAAAGUGUGAUUUGUCUCUCUCUCAAACCAUUAACUCAAGAAACCAACAACACUUUGCAACAGUGACUUGUACAACAAAGAUUCAUAAUACUCGGAAUAAUGCUAAUAGAACCCAUUAAACACCAAAAAUUCAGAUUUCAGAAUGCAACAUGGCUCAGCAUCCAGUAGGGUUAUCAAAAUUACCUAAGCAAUAAAGAUAUAUACCCACCCAUAUGGAACAAGAGAAAAACUUGCUGGAAAUGUAAAUUUCAAAAGGACCCAAAAAUGCGAAUCUUCUUCCUUUUUAUAAAAUCUUACAGAAGAAAGAUAAAGGAAGAAUGAAAAAUCAUCAUUUGGGACCAGAGAAUGAAAUCCAUUAACUCAAUCGAACCUGUGAGCACCAAUGUGACUAAUAAAUUCAAGUUGAGGACUUUGCCUCUUGGAUGGUUCAAUGCAACCCAAAACAACAGCAACACAGCAAACAAAGAAGAAGAACAACAAAAGAAGAUAAAUAAAUUUGUGCACUAAAUGAGAAAACCAAAAGCAGUUACCUUGAGGAUUGGAGACAGCUUUCCAAUGAGAUGCUGUGAUGAUCUGUUGAUUUGUAACUAUAGCACAUCAUCAAGUGACCAGUUAAUAUGCUUGAAUUAUGCAUGCUCUAAUCACAAGUGAUUUGUCAAUCACCAAGUGACUAAUGGAAUGAGCUAUAAUGCUAAUAAAUAAAUAAAUUCAAUUAGUUGUCAUAAUUCUGCCAUUAUUUCUCCAGAUCACUUGUAACUGCUACCAAUUGCAAAUAAGGAAACAAACUCCCAAAAAUUAUAGAGAGAUUGUUUUUGAGAAAAAAUCAUUUGUUGAAAUUUCAAGGUCUCACCCUCUUAUUGGAAAUGGAGAUGCAAAUUCACCCACGAAGGAAGUAAAAGACUCAUCGUGACACAAUCUUAGUUCAAAAUUCAGAUUUAAGCACAUGCACAAAACCAGGAUGGAAAAAUAACCAUUUUGUAUGAUCGCCGUAACGAAGGCAUAAAGUAAAUAGGCAACGUCAAUUCAUAAACUAAGCAAAAGUAAUACCACAAUAAAAUACUAAACAAUCAAAAUUUCUGCCAGACAGACUCAACACGGACAGCCAUACUUGCUCGGAUGUAUUGAAUCCCGCUGCAAAGAUUGUUUACCGUCUGUAGACCACUAUGCUGAAUUACUCUGUUGCUUUCUUACUUCUCUUAGCCGUCUUCAGCUUUGCUUCUCCGCUCUUCAACUUCUCAUGUUCACUCUUCCUCUUCUCCUUCUUUCCAACAGACUCUUCGCCCUUGACUGGCAAAUCAUCUGCUUUCUUCUUUGUACCAUCUUUUUUCUUCCCUUUCGAAGACACCCCAUCUUUCUUAUGCUUGAUAGUCGCAUCAUCUUCAUCUACCAUCUUAGCCAACUUUUUGAACCGUUUCUCAAUAGGAAUAUCAUCGUCUCCAUCUUUCACCUUAGUCGACUUUUUCAACUGUUUCUUAUUGUUAAACUCACCGAGAACCUUUUCCCCAUUCAAUUCAGCAUCAUCUUUCACCUUAGCUGACUUCUUCAACCUUUUGUCACCCUUAGACUCACCAACAACCUUUUCCUUCUUCCUCUUCUUCUUCCCCAAUUCACCACUACCCGGUUCUUCAUUCUCACUUUGCUUACCUUCUCCAAUAACCCCAUCACCAACCAAUUCAUCAUCGUCAAGCACCUCACCAGCAUUGCUAUCCAUAUACCUCACUUCAUGAAUUCUACCCUUCUUCUUACUCACUUUCUCACUCUUCAAACCCUUACUCUCAGACUUGACAACCUCUUUCACUGCCUCCUUACCGUCCUCAUCACUCUUAGCUCCCUCAAUUUUCAAUGUCAAAUCCGGCACGGCCUGGUAAACCGGCAAUGCAAGCGACUCCAGAAACUUCAAGUGAAAUGACCUCACAUCCCUCCACUUCUUAGGCACAAUCUCUACAAUCCCAUUAAUCGCCGCAACCACAUUCUCCACAAUCUCAUCAACGCUCAUGGACACCUUCGCUACCCUCACCACGCUGCACGUCCCGGUACUCAUGAACAACAAGGCUGACUCACAUGCUCUGUCAACCUGCUCCUUCCAAUUCUUGUGCUCCAAGUCUACAGGCACCGGAAUCUUCUUCUUCUUAAAAAAUUGCUUCCCCAAAUACUUCGGAAGCAAAGGCACAAUCCGCCUAUCAACCAAAAACAUAUCAUAAGAAUGCAACAGCUUUCUCUUGGCUUCAAAGGGCACGUAAGCAGACUUGAGCUUCGAAAGCUUCAAAAUUUUCGAGAUGGGUAUAUUCUCGGCCUUGAUUUUCUUCUGGAUGAAAUCCUUGGUGAGAUUGGACUUGGGCCCAUCGUCGUAUAUCAAGCAGAGCUCGGAAAGCUGGGAAUGGAGGGGAUUUGGGAGAGGGACUUUGUAGGCGUUUACGCGGGCCUUUGGUGGGAUUUUCUUGAGGGUGAGAACGAGAUAGGCGAACUCGUCGGAUUCUAAGAGAUCGGGUUUCUCGGUCUGCAACUUGGAGUUUCGCCAUUUGAGGAGGGAAUUUACAGCUUUCUGCACCGUCGACGACCCCACGGAAGCCAUGGAAAUAGGCUUAGAGGUCCACAAGCAAUGCCCUCCAACUGCUCGCUGGUUUGCCUGAGAGGAAGAAGAUGCAGCGCAGCUCACCUGAGGACGAAGAAGAAGCUCACGCUACUUGUGCUCCUUCAGUCUUAAUUUUCCUUUCAAACUCUGUCAAGAAGACAGACAGAGAGAAGAAAGAAAGAGAGAGGGAGAGAAGAAUGGUGGGAGGCGGCUGAAACAGAAGAACGGUGCGUUGAGCGGGAGAGAGGUAGGGUUAUUAUUCGGGCUUGAACCUAAUUAAAUGCGAAGUUGGGCUUUAGACUUGGGGGUAAAGUUGGGUUUUAGCUUCAACUUAUUAUUCAUGCAUGAUUAGACAUCAUUCACGAAUGAAUAUAUUCGGGCCAUUAAUCGAAUGGACUGUCCCUGGUGUUAUCAAAUACCAUAUUGAGUUAACACAAUUUGUCAGCCAUUAUGAAUGAGGUUAAUAAUCUAACCUGGUGAUAAUAACAAUUAAUCUACCCAUAAUGUUAGGAAUAAGUAAGCAGUCGAAAUAUAUUUUACUUGUCCUAUAUCAAUCCAAUCCAACGGGUAUUAAUUACCAUAACAGUUUGGAUCCAUAUCCCUCGUUACUGCCUACGUAUGAUAUCCGUAAUUGCUAUUAUGUUACUUAUUAAUAGCUUUAUAUAUUAUUUGAGAAUGUUAACUAAUAUAUCCAAAAUAAAGAUAUAUAUAUAUAUAUAUGUAUAUCUAUCUGUCCAUCUAUUUUACAUUUAUUCAUAUGAUGGUAGGGUAAAAUUUCUCAUUGUCUCGAAAACUAUUGACUGGUCAACAAGUCAACUUUCUUUUGUGUGCGAGCGUGCCACUGCUAGUAAUGAAAAUCCUAGUAGGCUUCUUAAAAAUAGAUAACUUGCGCCCCAAGUUACUGAUUUCUAAACAAGCGAUUGUGAAUUUGGGUGAGGAAUAUCUCCCAAGUAAGUUCUUUUAUUGCCUCAAACUGGUGAGGACUUUACAAUUUUUCACAGUACAAAUAGUUCUGGCCAGAAUAAAUGAUAAGAAAGUGAACUGUUUUAGGCAAAACUGCCUUUUACAAAGCUUAAAAGGGAAAGACCAACUCUAAAAAGACAAAAAGAGGGUUGAACUUCCAUUUCUGCCUGGAUAGAUGCUUCUGAUCCGGCCUGGACUAGGUAUUCUUGUACUGGACUAGACUAUCAACACCUUCAACAAUCAAGUUUUAGCUGUAAAUCGAUACCAACGUUCGAGUGUGGCAGAGAUUUAAUCUAUUUCAAGCCUUGGAAGGCUUUUUGAACGGGCAGAAUUGGAACCUCUUCAGUUUGGAAAGGGCAGAAGUGGCUGGAUUUGAUGAUUACUGAGCUGAAACUGCACUGUAAUACUUGUUUUGCUUGAUCAUGGCUCUCCAUAAAUUUAUUGAUGUUUUCAUAUUUGUGAAACCCGAACUCUGCUUGAUUUGGCUUAUGCUGAACCAAAUUUGUAACGAGAGAAAUCUCACUUUGAAUGACUAUUUCUCUGAAACUGAAUUGAAGUUAGAGAUUCUGGAUUGUAGUUGACUAGUUUCUUGUGGCUCAAUGAGCUGUUGGUUGCUUCAGUGUUUUGAAGGGUUUUUGGGAUUAAGUGAUCAUUUUGAGUUUUUGUUUUUGAUUGAUUUUGUGGCUAUUUUUUGAUCUGUUCACAUCCUUUCAUAUUUAUAGGAAAUGCUGGAGUGAGAUUUUUAAUCUUUAAAAUGGGUGGCAGAUUUUCUUAAAAACAAGAUCUUUUUAUUUUUAAAUGUCAAAAAGGGAAGUUAUCUAUUAUGGCAAAUAAACCAUCAACAGUCAGUUCUAAGACAAUCACUUCCCUACUUUUCUUGAAGGAAAACCAACUCUCCUUGUUCUCUGUUUAUUCCCUGUAAAGAGAAAAACUUAAUUUGCCAUGAUGGUUAGUUUGCUUUUCCUGUUUUGAACAACUCCCUUGCUUCCUACUUAUCUCUUGAAAUCAUAGUCUGCUUAUCUCUUGGAAAUACUACCUGCUUUGGUGCAGAGUUCUUUUAUAUAUAUAAAAAAGGAUUUUGAUCUUCUUCCUUUGGCUGCAAAAAUGGAGAAGACCUCCUGUAAGACAUGCCUUCAUUAACUCUCUGUCAGCUCCUCUGUGAUAGUUGAGAUUUUUGACUUUUCAAAGUUAGGUAGCCACGUGGGUUUUCUUGAGAAUAGGGUUUCCAGAAAAAAUACGUUGACUUGUUCCUGAGCUUUUUGAGAGAAAUGGUGAAAUUUUUAGAAGUUGGGCCCUAAUUCAAUUCUUUCUUCUAGAUUGUUAACGAUCUGCUUGGUGGUCAAUUUUGCCAUUUAUUUGGCAAUUUUACUAACUUGCUUUGUGUUUUUAUUUUUCUACCACUUCAUAAAAAAAAAACAUGGACAUCUGGCGUGGAUUGUGCUUUUCUUUUGGAGUCAAAGCUCGAUCUUCUGUUUUCCUGUUCCUGGGCUUUUUGUGAGAAAUGGGCUGGUGUGUGAAUUUUUUUAGGCCCAAACAAUGCCCCCUUAAGUCUGAAUCGUUUUUAAAUGGUUUCAGACUUAAUGAUUGGCCAAUCAAUGAUGCGCGCCAUUUCCUGCCGUUGCACUUGCGCACGUCUACCUAUUCAAUUUAGGCUUUGUGGGGAAAUGGGUUCUAACGGCUAAUUAAAUCUGAACGAAACACCUUUCUUCCCACUUUCCCCACGAUCUUCUUGCUUCAGUUUAUAAAAAUUACUAAACUUCAUCACUGUUCAUAAGAAACCGUAGCUAUGUUUCAGCUUCCAUCCCUUUUGCAACCCUCUAUUCUUUCGAUUUCGUUCCUUCAAAUCCUCCUCUGUUUCUUGUUUGAAUUUCGAAGAUGUCUUCCCCAAAAACUCGUGCCAAAGGUUCUUCCUCCUCUCGGUCCCCUACUUAUUUUACUGGAGACGGAGUUGAUCAGCAUGCAAUUGAAGUUCAUAGCAAGCUCCAUCCUUUUAUCGAGAAAAAUUUGGAUGAAAACGUUCUCCACUUUUUCGAGAACACACUCGUUCUGGGUCCUCAUUAGUUUGGCGUAGUGCCAAAGGAGAUGGUCAAUUUGUUUAAGAAGGAUGCUGAAGCUCCCAUUUGCCUCCAAAGCUCUUCUGCCCUGGCUUCUCACACUUCGGUUAGUAAGAACUUGAGCCGCUCUUAUCCCUCCAGUGAAGUAAGGAAUAGUGCAGUGAAGUGGUCGGAUUGGAUUGAUAGACUUAUUCCGAGGUAUGAAGAUCACUAGAAAAGGGCUGGGAUCUACGACUCUAUUUUUCUGUCCAAGCAAUCUGUGAAUAGAGACGAGAAUUUGCUGGCUGCAGCUCUCUGCUUAUGGAAUUCUGCCAGCAACACAUUUGAUUUUCGUGUGGGCCCUAUGACUCCAACCCUGCUGGAUAUGGCUCAGAUCUUUGGGUUUAGGCCUCAUGGAAAACCUGUCGAUGCUGUUGGUGACUAUCACAGAAGGAAGAAUCUGGAGAAAUUGGCCAAGCCUUUCACUAUCUCACAUGCCAUCAUCAAUCAGAACUGCUCGUUCUCCAACUACAAUAGCCUUGUAUUCUUGCAAGUAUUUUAUGUGAUUUUAACCCUAUUUGCGCAUGUAACAUCCCACAUCGACUAACGGGAGAGGGAGUGAUGUGCCUUAUAUGUACAUGCCCACUUUCAUCUAGCACGAGGCCUUUUGGGAGCUCACUGGCUUUGGAGUCAUGGGAACUCCGAAGUUAAGCGAGUUUGAGCUAGAGCAAUUCUAAGAUGGGUGACCCAUUGGGAAGUUGCUUGUGAGUUCUCAGAAACAAAAUCGUGAGGGUAUAAGGGACCCAAAAGCGGACAAUAUCGUGCUACGACGGAGCCGAUCCUGGGAUAUGACAAUUUGGUAUCAGAGUCACUUUAUCGUGUGCUGCGAGUGUGCCGACGAGGACGUCAGGUCCCUAAGGGGGGUGGAUUGAAACAUCCCACAUCGACCAACAUAGAGGGAAUGAUGUGCUUUAUAUGUACAUGCCUACCUCUAUCUAGCACAAGGCCUUUUGAGAGUAACUGGCUUUGGAGUCAUGGGAACUCUGAAGUUAUGCGAGUUGGGGCUAGAGCAAUCCCAGGAUGGGUGACCCACUGGGAAGUUGCUUGUGAGUUCCUAGAAAUAAAACUGUGAGCAAUCCCAGGAUGGGUGACCCACUGGGAAGUUGCUUGUGAGUUCCUAGAAACAAAACUGUGAGGGCGGAGAGGGGGGCUCAAAUCGGACAAUAUCGUGCUACGACGGAGCCGAUUCUGGGAUGUGACAGCGCAGGUACUAAAAAUCAUAUUAAGAAUACAAGGCUAUUGUAGUAUAGAUGCCCAUGCAAGGUCGUUCUCCUCAAGGACUAUUUAGCAAUUUAUGUAAAAAUAAUUUCCAAUUAACUAACUAAAAUUAAAAGUUGAGAAAAAUAUUUAUGAAAUUGUUUGAUACUAAAAACAAAUUUUAAACAAAAAAAAAAAAUACGAUUGAAGAAAAAAGUUUUAAAUACCAAUAUAUAAAAGCAUUAGGGUUUCACCAUCACCUCACAAUCCUAUGAAUUUUUACCAAUUACUUAUGAUUUGCACAUGCCACUUUGAAGGUUAGGUUUUCCUAAUUUAUAUCAAACUAGAAAGGCGCGCGUACUAUCAAAUUCCCCUAUGCCUAUGGUAAGGGGCGGACCAGAGCAAGCACUAGGAGAAGUUGGACAUCCAUAUAAAAUAAAAAAAUAUAUCUCUUACUUUGCUAUAGCCUUAUCUGGGAAAGGUGGAAGGUUUGGGGGGGAAAUACACUCUUUCUAGACUACUUCUUAAAAGCAUGAUAGAAUGUAUAUCCAACAUGCAACCUGUCCGGACGUUCGGAUCAAAUCUAAAUAUGAAAGGCUCAUUAUGUUUUGUGAAAACCCUUUGAAAAAACCAUACAAUCUUUAAGACGUGGUGUUCAUCUUAAGUGAAAUUACAAUUAUUAAUCAAAAGAAGCCAGCAUCAACUUGAGGGAACCUUCCAACCAAAAUUGCAUCAAAUUACUUUUCUAAAGAACCUAACGCUGAUCAGGCAUUAGGACAAUUAGAUAGUUUAAAACAGUAAUUAACAAUUCAAAGUAUGCAUGCAAUCAAUCAUAAGCAAUUAAAUAAAAAUUACAUAUUCAUGCUAAGGUUUAAGGCUUCACCCUAGCAAAAGAAAAUUAGUUACGCAUAUUCAUAACUAAAAUCAAAGAAAUGAAUAAGAAUGAAAACACCUUAAAGUCGCAAAAACUCCAAAACCCUAGCAAUUGCUCUCCACAAUGUCCCUUUCAAAAACCAAAAAGAAGUCCUAAAAUUGCUGUGAGAAAGAACUUAAAUACCUCCUAAAACCGGCUGCCCAAUCCCCAUAAGGAAACUAAGUUAAAAUAAAAUAAAACUAGGAUAUAAAGUCCAAAUUGGAUUAGGAGAAUUUGCUCACAAUCUGCCCAGCCACGUUUUGGCCACGAAUCUCCUCCAAAUCAGGGCCAAGAUAGGUUGUUUUAAAGAUAAAAAUAUUCUGAACACUUCUCCAUAAGGCCACGAACCCAUCCGAUGUCAUUUUGGGCUCCAAAAAGCAAUAAAAGCCCAAAAUGUCACUAUUCCAGUACCGCGCACUGCUCCUUUAUUUUAUUGCCAGAAAAUAACCGCUUGGUAGAAAAAUAUGAAAUUUUGAUACGAUCAAGCUAAGUGACUCACGAACGUACUCCUACUGGAAUUACUCCAAAAUUCGUCCAUUUGAUUAUGUUUUCCUCAAGAGGAAGUCGAAAGUCCUAUAAUGAAAAUAUAAUUCAAAGUAUCAAAAUUCUUCCAAAAUAUUAACCAAAACAUACUAAGAAUAUGGUUAAAUAUUUAAUAUAAAAUCUACUCAUCAUCGUAUAUUAUUACAAUGAUAUAGAAUCCAUGAGUAAAUCGGCCGGGAUGCUUACCUGGGGAUAUCCAGUACAUAUCACGCCAUUAAUCAGAGUUAAACCAAGGAAUAUAAUCUCGGGUAUGAUAUCAAUUGCGUGGAUAAAAUAAUAAGCAGUAGUGCAUGUACCUAUUUACCCAAUAAGCAACUAUACACAUAAUAACCUAUUGCUUAUUAUUCAGUUAGGUAUCCUAUGUCAGCUACAAUAAUAAAUUAUAAUGAAGUAACCCAUGCUAUAUGAUUGUUACUAAUUAGUACUCUAUUAUCCUUGAACCAGAAUGGACUUGCUGGCUAUAAUAAACCAAUGCUCUGGGGUAUAUAUACUCCUCCAUGAUCUGCUCCCUCCACUUUGAAGUAGGGGGAACAUUUACUUUGUUUUUGUAAAAGAGGCAAUUGUUCUGCCAAGAAAAAUAUGGUUUAGUAGGAGCUCGGGCUUGCAAAGCCUGAAUAAUGUUCAUAGCUUUUGCGUCGUUGAGGCAAUCAGCUUUUAUUUGUGAUACACUAUCAAAAAUGGGUGUGGAUAACCCCAUGAUGGCCAACAAUUCCGGUUUGCGAGACAAGGUAUAUGGCCUUGCAUUUUGGGUACCAGAACGAUAAUCAAUCUCAUAAUCAUACCCGAACAAUUUCAGUAACCACUUUUCUUGUGUUGGAGAGGUGAUUCGCUGCUCCAAAAAAUACUUGAUGGUCUGAUGAUCCAUUAAGAUCUUGAAAUGGCGGCCGAUGAGGUAUGGUCUCCAAUGUUGAACUGCAAAUACAACUGACAUCAUCUCCUUGUCAUACACAUAUAGGCUCUUGUGCUUAUCUGAGAUAGCCUUACUCACAUAAGCGAUUGGAUGUUUGUCUUGGGAAAGAAUGGCACCAAUUCCCACAUUAGAUGCAUCACACUCAACCACGAAUAACUUGGAAAAAUUCGGCAGGGCUAGCACAUGCGUGGUCAUGAGAGAAGCCUUGAGGUUCAGAAAUGCUUACUCGGCUUCUGUCGUCCAGGCAAAAUUAUCUUUUUGCAGCAUAUAAGUAAGUGGCCUGGCUAUCGGGCCAAAACCUUGUACAAACUUCCUGUAGUAUCCGGCUAGUCCCAAAAAUACUCUCAACCUCUUAAUGAUAGUGGGUUUAGGCCAUUCCUCGAUACACUGCACUUUGAUUGGAUCCACUGCCACUCCAGCUGCAAAUAUGACAUGUCCCAAAUAUGCCACAUAGUUUUGAACAAAUGAACAUUUUGAGAACUUCACCUUUAGCUGAUGAACUCUCAGUACCUCGAAAACAUGAGCCAAGUGUAUAUUAUGCUCAGAUAAAGUUAUGCUAUAAACUAAUAUAUCAUCAAAGAAAACCAAGACAUAUUUGCGUAAACAAAAAAAAAAAAAAAAAAACAACCUAUUGUAUUUAGAUAUUCUGCAAAAACUGAAUAUCGAGAUAUGGUUGUAGCUACUUGUGAGCUCCAAUGGUUACAGUAUAUUUUACAAGAUUUUUAAGGUGCUACACUCCUUUCCCAGUAUACUCUAUUGUGACAACAAAGUUGUAUUAUCUGGUUUAUAACGAAAAAACCAACCACAUUGAAAUUGAUUGUCUUGUUGUUCGUGAGAAAAUCCAAGAUGGUUUGUUACAAACCGCGUUUCUGCCUUCCAAGGAUCAAAUUAAAGUACAUCUUUAUUAAAGCAUUGGAGAAAGAAGGUUUUUUACAAUUACGGUCUAAGUUGAACGUUUUAGAAAUUAGAAACAAAGCCAUGAUACAAGGAAGACUUUUGUCAAGAUUGAUUGGAGACUAAUUAUCGGGUUUACCUUGUAUAAGGAAAGGAGCUUAUUUACUUUGAUUACACUAUUGUCUCUUCUUUCCAAUUAUGUAUGUAAUUUACCUACGUUGAUUCUGGAGAUUCUUUCCUCAAUGUAAAUUCCUUAGAUUUACGAUCUUGUCUUUUCCUGACUACUAUAUAAUUGUAUACUUCUUGUGCAAAGAUUAAUAUACAUAAAUCAUUUUAUCAUAUUUUCUUAUAAGAGAGAGAGAGAGAGAGAGAGAGAGAGAGAGAGAGAGCAAUUGAGUGGGGGGAAGGUUUGGGCAAGUGCAGUGAUGAGCAGAAAUCGCGAGGUGCUAAUCAGGGUUGGUCCUACGUUUAGGCUAACCUGGGCUAUAGUCUAGGUAACUUGAUUUUUUAUAGUCCAAAGUUAAUAGGUAGCCUAGGUGACUAACUCCACAAGUAUGAUAGAAAGAAAAAUAUAAACUAACCCUAUACACACAUGACACAUACCCCUUUUCAGAAAACACUCAUUUCAUUCCCUCAGAGAAAAUCCUUUACCUUGGUGUGAAUAACCUUUCAUUUUUAUUUUCCGAGUUGGCUUGAAUGGCUAGAUGGACUCAAAUGUUUCAGUUUUUUUCUUCUUCUUUUGUAGCAUUGCAGCAAAUGCAUGCAUCAGGGUUUGUACCUUCUAUAGAAUCUUUUGUUUCAUCAUCUGAAUAUAUAUUAAUAUUUAAAGAGUAUAGCCGCGCGGCAAUAAUUUUUAAUUAUUAAUAUAUUUAAAACGUAUAGCGACGCGGCUAUACUGCACAACAUGGUUUUUUUUAUUUUUUAUUUUUUUUAUAAAUUAAAUAAUAUAUUAGCCUUGUUCGAUUACUUUAAUUAGUAAUUAUUCUUUAGUGAAUAAUUAGCAUUUAAAUAUUACUAAUUUUAUAAAUUACUUAAUAAAUUGUAAUAAAUUAUUUUAAAUUAUUUUGUGGACUUUGUUAUUUUUUAUUUAUACAAAAUUAGUUUGUUUGCAAUUAAGUAAUAUCUUAGCCUUAUUUAAUUAUAUUAUUUAUUAUUUAUGUUUUUAUUCUUCUUUAUUUAAUAAAUAAUUAGUAUUCAAGUAUUUUAAUUAAUUUCAUAAAUUAAUAUGGGCUAUAGCCUAGGUGACUUGAUUUUUUAUAGCCCAAAUUUAUUAGGCAACUUAGGUGACUUGAUUUUUUACACCCCACACGGACACACACACCUCCAUCCCAACAUCAAAAAAUCUUUUUUUUUUUUUCUUUCUUUAGUUAACUAACCCCACAAGUCUGAUAGAAAGAAAAAUAUUAACUAACCUCACAUAUGUGACACAUACCCCCUUUUAGAAAACACACAUUUCAUUCCCUUGGAGAAAAUCCUUUACCUUCGCUUGAACACUUUCUUUUUAUUUUUAUUUUAAGUUGGCUUGAAUGACUAGAUGGGCUAAACUGAUUCAAUUUUUUUCUUCUUCUCUUUGUAAUGGACAAAUGCUUUCAAUUUUUUUUUCCUGUUAGAAGAAGUUUAUUGUGUAAUUGCUAUAAUUGACCUUAAAAUUCGUACUUUAAUUUUUCUAUACAUGCUUAUAUGUGAGUGCAUGCCCAGUUGCUUGUUUUUGUCAAUAACUCGGUGUUAAAUUAAUCAAGCAGGAUCUCAUUUUCAUUCAUGUUAUUUGGGAAAGUUUUGGAGUAAAGAAUAAAUAAAUUUAAACUUUUAUGGUGACUAAAGUAAUGAAGUUAAGUUUAUUGGUUGCAGUAGAAGAAAAGAGAAAUAUAAUCGCGACACGAGAACCACUAAAAAUAAGAAUGGUGAUUUGAAAUUAUUAAUACAUUAUUUCUAUGAUCUCUGUAAUUGGUACUUAGGUAAGGAGGGUAAACUAAAACCCUCAAUGAAUAGAAACAGACAAGCGGAAGACAAAUACCAAGGAUUCCAAACCAAUAUGAGAAUUAAAAAAACCUUAGCUACAAAGCUUAUGAAUAAUCAAACCAAGCACAUUCAUACGCAACACUCAUACCCCUGCAAAACUAGAAGAAUACUAUGUGACAGCCUAUGCACUCAAUCUAGGCAUCCCAUGUGCUAGCAACAACUAGAGUGAUAGGUAUGUGGACAUUCAUCAACAUUUCAGAUAUAAUGCAUAUAUACAAUAUGACUAGACAUAUAAACCAGAUAAUCACACCAGAAAUGUUUAACCAGAAACCCACCAUUGGGAAAAACUAGGGGUCAUCGAUAUGACCAGGCAAUUCACUAACAAGAAGAAAUAGUUACAGAGAUCAAUAGAUACAAAUCAAGUUUCCUAGUUCUAUAAAGGAGCCGAUAUACCUCUCCAAGCUGUCUUCUUCUUCUCAGCAACGUUGCUUGCAACUAGUCUAUCAUGACAAUGACAGCUUCAUCCUUUAGCUCAGACAUCUCAUGGCACCAACAACACAACACUACUCAAUCAAAUGCUGUGAUGAUAAUGUAGAUUUAAGAAAGGAUCAAUUUUCUCAAGAAAUCAUUCUUGGAGAAAAUCAAUAUGAAAAUCUGAACUAUAGAUCUAAAUGAUGUGUGUGAUUUAGAACUUCUAGAUGCAGAUUUAGUGAGCAAGAGCAGAUUUUAUGAAAAACUGAUUUUUCCUAAAAUCUCAUAAAUGCAACCUCAUAGCCCUCAUAAUGAAAAAGAUUAUGCCUGCAAACUUUCCAAAAAGUGCUAGUGAAUGUUUUCUAAGAGGUGACAGAUGAUUAUCAUAAAUGCCUCCUUUAUACUAAGGAGAAAGAAAGGCUGCCCUAGGACAAGACCUAUAGAUGUCAACAUUAUAAUGGCUAUCAAAUAAGAUAAAGAGAAUAUUUCUGGACAGAGGUGUAAAGGCUAGCAAAAAAAAGGUAAGAUUGUACCAUCAUUAGGACAGUUCAUUCAAAAUGGAACAGUAGCAUAGAAUGAAAUGCAAUGCAUGAUUUUACCUUUGUUGAGUAAUGCCAAAAGCUGAUUGUUGAGGAGCAGGCACACGCUUUGUGAGAGGAUCAGACAAUCGCUUUAUGUGGGGACCACUUUAAGCUAACAACUUUAGUCUAAUCCUAAUCCUCUUUAAGCAACUUAUUACAAGAAUGUUAGAGAGCUCUUAAUAGACUAAUAUUUUUCUUUAACAUUGAAUAAUGAUAUGGUUACCUUUUGAGAAAUGGAAGCAUGUCAAUUUAUGACACUGCAAGUUCCAUGGCAAAAUUCAUAGAUGAUGGCAUGAAAUCCUCUAAACUGAACUUAUUAUUCACUAACCAUCUACGCAUCUAGACUCCACCUGAUGAAAUUCCUUGGCUAAUGUCCUUUGCAAACAUUCAAAAUAUGAAAAUCCCCUAAAACUGAACUAAUUCUUUUACUCUCUACGUUGAUGAGCUAGGCGGUUGGUGACUCUAUCUAGCUGUUUUGGUAAGGCGAUGGGAAGGUGGAGCGGUGAUGGGGUUUAAAAAAAAAAAAAAAUUUUUUUUUUAAAAUUUUAAAAUAUAAUCAUAUUUUAAAAUAUGGCUUUUAAAUUUUUUAUCAUUUAAAUAUUUUUAAAAAAGGGCCCCACAUGUGCCACACUUAAUAGAUUUUCAAACGGUUAAGUUAAAUCAAUGUUGGGGGGGGGGGGGGGGGGGGGGGACCUCAUGUUAAAAACCCCCAAAGGAAUUUUAGUUCUCUUUGCGAGUGUUCACGUAGAAAACAGAAUAUGCGUAUAAGUAGCGGAUUUCUAGAGGUGAUCCUCAGCCAAUUUGAACUAGGCUUCCUCUUUGACCAUGGCUUUCAACAUUGCCACCAUUGCUAAAUGAAAAGUCUAUAUUACCCCCGACAGAUAAAUAACAAAUGAAAAAAUUUAACAAAAUGACUCAAUUAAUAUUACCCCCGACACAUAUAUAAUUUAUCAAUAAUUGAAUAUGUGAUAUCCCAUUCCUAAAUUAAUUAUUAAUUCUUAAAUUAUUCAAGUAACAGACAAUUUCACCUUGAGAGUUUUUUAAUGGGUUUAAAGUUGACUUUUUGUUUGGUAAAGAAUUUGGGGAUUCGGGUAAAACUGUUGCAUAGAACGCAUCGAUACGAGUUCGUAGACACGUAGUGGGCUCAAAUCGGAGUUUUAAGGAAGAAGUUACGAUAAACGGAAGUGCAGUGGCACAACUGUAAAUAUUUCAAAGUUAGAUUUUAAAAACCAAUCAGAUCUUCUCUCUCUCUCUCUCUCUCUCUCUCUCUCUCUCUCUCUCUCUCUCUCUCUCCCCCGUGACCUCACUCUCCAGGUAUGCUUUCUCAUCAUUUCAACGUGAUUUAGCUGAUGGUUGGGUUGGUUAGGAUUGAUUUUGAAGUUCAAUUUAUGAUAUAAGUUUUGAUCGAUUUUUUGCUCGAAUUUCCGGUAAGCUACGACCACUUUUUGGCUGUGCCCCAAGAACAAAAGUUGCUCCCCUAGUUGUCAUGAUCACGUAGGUAUAGGUAUUGUCCGGGUGUUUUGAGAAUUUUUCAGUCGCCGAAAUUUUCUCAAGACACCUACUCACUGCUGGCACGUAGGCCAAGAUUGGGUGGCCCAUUUGGUCCUAAAAUGAUCCCUAUGUCGUCUCGAGCACGACGAUAUGCUCAGAUUUACAUAUUAGGCGAUAUCCGGGUUCGAUAUAGUCGGACAGUCGGAUCUCAACAAAACUCAUAGGAUAUAUUAAUUGGAUUUUUAUGAACCUAUAGGAACUUUUGGAUUAUUAAUCGGAGGUCGUGGACCCCACGGGGGACUGAGUUGACCAAUAUAAGAAUUUAAUUGUAUAUUUAAUCUCGGGUCUUUUCAGACCAUUCCAACUGUCAAAACUGUUGAAAAUGGGUCUAGGAACUUUCUUAAGUUACGCACACUCACUUUAAGGCUGGGGAUCAGGAAGGAUCCUCGAAGGGUCAACGAGCUCGGACACACGGUGAGUGGACGUUUGUUUUAUAAAUGAAUUUUAUGCAGCAAAAGUUUUAUUAAUUGAUCAUGAACGAAUUGUUUAUGAUUUUUGCUUUCCAAGCAUACAGUUUGAAUUCAAAUGCUUUUAUAAAAUUGUGUUAUGAUUAAAUGUGAAUGGCUUGGAAGGUAGAAAAUGAAUUGGUAACAGGAUUUAUGGAUUGAGUGAGAAACAGUAUUCUGAUUUUCCAGGAAAGGUUUUUUGUUUUUUUGUUUUUUUAUUUUUUUAUUUUUUUAAAAACCACCAUAGGUACCCAAAAUAUUGCCUUCGAAUAAACUGUUGCCUUCGGAUAUAAUGAUGUCCAUGGACAUACUAGUUGCCUUCGGUUGAGUCAGGGGCGUUUGACAAUUGCCCCACAAGUCCAAGAGAUACCCGAACAGUGAGGAGCGAGGAAUGCAGCUUAGGUUGACCAAGUGUCUCCUGAGUUCUGCGAGGAAUGCAGCUCGGGUUAACUUUGUAUUUCCGAGUUCUAAAAGGAGAUGUCGCUUAUGCGACACUUGAAAUUGACGGUAUAAUGUGGAAAAUAAAUAGAAAAAUCAUGGAAUUGACGGAUUUAUGAAGGGUACACCUAGGUGGAAAUGAAUUAUUAUUUUUCAAUGCUUUCAAAUGAUUUUGAUGAAUUGAUUGAAUGUAUGAAUGGUUAUGUGAAUAUAAAUAUGCAUGCUUGAUUUUUGUACGAAUAUAGAGCAUGGAUUAAAUGAAUUUUCAAAUGGUUUUAACAGUGGGGUUAGUAUGUUGAUAUUAUAUUUUGCAAAACUUUCUUUUGUCCACUCAUGCUGUUAAUAUUUUGCACCCCUAUGCAGUAAUCGAGUACCGGAACACCACCACCGGGCAUUCAUCACCCAUCACUCAUCCACUUCCAUUAUGUAGGAUAUUCUAUUGUAACCGUACUAUUUGUUGUAAAUUAAAUUAAUUAGUAGGCUCUGAUAUUGCCCUAUGAUUUCUAUAAGGUCUGAGGCCACACAGAUUUGAUGUUGGAUUGUGUGUGCUCUAACAUUGUGCAUACUAAACGCUUGCGGAUAUAAGAAUUGCAUGUUGUACAUGUGUAAAUUAUUGGGAAACGAGCAAUUUACAGGCAGACUCUACAGAUUUUUCGGCAUAAGUCAAACCUCAAAGAAUUUUUUUGAGUUUUAGUUUAAGGGGGCAAUUUGGUCAAGUGUGCCUGGCACCUGACAGGUGUUGGAUACGCACAAGGUUCGACGCAGAUUCUAAAGUGGAAUUUGGGUCCUGUCUAGUGCCUGUUCCAGGAUUAAAAAGCUGGUUUGGCAAAACUUACAUACAAAACUCGACGGUACGAGUGAAUUUCAUUAAUAAACAUAAAAAGAUACACCUAGUCAGGGGAGACAUAAUAAGCUUUACCCUCAAAUACAUCUCUAUCCAUAAAUAAAAGUUCAACAAACACUACUACAAAAAAGCAAAAAGACGACGGUAAAUCACCGUCGUGUAUUCGAUUUUUCAAUGGUCGUGGAAUCCACCGUCAUCUUUUCCCUCAUAUACCACGACGCUAAAUCACCGUCGUUGUUAAAAUAUACAACGUCAUCAACAAAUACAAAACGACGUCUUUGUACUGCAAAAAGAUCUAAAAAAGCAAUCGAGGAUGAGAAUAGACGACCAACUCUCUAAAAAAACCGUCGUUAAAAAGGAAAAAUAUGACACAUAUUAAGAGAACAAGGCCGCAAGAUAGACAUACAACGACGGAAAUAAAAAAACGACGCCGUUAAAUAUCAUUUUCACGACAAUAAAAAAUUUGACGUCUUUAAAUACAUUAGAAGACGACGUUAUUGAUACCUACUACGUCGCAUAUAUAAAAACAGCCGUCGUAAAAUUAAUUUUCCACUUCGAUUUUUCGAUAAAAGAUGACGUGGAAAUAGUUGUCAGUGUCAUUAUUUACGACGUGUGUAUUUAUUGAGUAGACGUUGAAAAACGAAACAACGUCGGUUACAAAUAUAUGAGAGUCGUAUUACAAAAUUUAUACGUCAUAUUUUCAGAAACAAACAACGACGAUAAAUAUUAGACGUUGUUAAAUAAAACAACGUCGGAAAACAAUAAAAACAGACGUGUUUAGUCUGCUAAAGUUCUAGAAAAUAGUCGAGGAUGAGAAUAGACGACCAACUCAAACAAAUCACCGUCGUUAAAAAGGAAAAAUAUGACACAUGUUAAAAGAACAAGGCCGCAAGAUAUACAUACAACGACGACAACUAAAAUUUUACGCCGUUAAAUAUAAUUUACACGACAAGAAAAAAUAUGACGUCUUUAAAUACAUGAGAAGACGACGUUAUUGAAAUAUACUACGUCUCUUAUUUACAAACAACCGUCGUGAAAUAAAUUUUCCACUUCGAUUUUUCUAAAAAAGAUGACGUGGAAAUAGUUGUCAGUGUCAUUAUUUACGACGUAUGUAUUUAUACAGUUGACGUUGAAAUGCGAAACAACGUCGGUGGCAUUUAUAUAGUCGACGUUGUAUUUAUAUCUAUCAUCAUUACUCACGACGCACUUAAUAAUAUAGACGACGUUGAACUUCUAAACAACGUCGGUUCCAAAUAAAUGAGAGCCGUAUUACAGAACAUAUAGACGGCGUUGAUUAUGAUGAGAGCCGUAUUACAAAUAACGUCGUUUAAUUGUUAUUAGACGGCGGUUAUAAUGAAUUUCCGUCGGAAUUCAUUUCGUUCCUCUUCGUUUAUAAAAGAACUUGCGACGUGGAAAAUGUAUGAUGACGUCGUAUUUUUUAACGUUCAGAUUAUAUAUCUCGUUUUUUAGACGUCGGUAUUAUGGGAUUGGAGUCGUGUUAUUUUGAAUUACAUGGCGGUUCUUAAUCCUUCCCCGACGUGAUAUCCUGAAUAAUUGCUUCACAAUUGCGUCGUGGUUCUUCAUUGUUACGUUGCUUUAAGACGUCGGUAAAUAUGCUGAAUAACUGGUUCACAAUAACGUCGUGUUUUAUUUGAACGUAGAAAGUGAAGAAAUCACAUUACAAUAUAUUACAAAAUUAAUGUCAUACACUGCCAAUUACAUAAGCAUCAUUCAAUCCAUAUAUCUUCACACCCAUCUCGAAUAUUUUGACCGCCUAACUCACCCACCAGUUCAUCAAAUGUGUCAACAUUUGGCAUCCCUCUAGUAAAUGGCUCACACUCAAUUAUCACAUCACCUAAGACUUCAUCACCAAUAACAUCAUUAUAUUCUCUAUUAGGCAUUGAUAACACUACCGACCAACCACGAUGCAUCGGGUCGUCAACAAAAAAUAUUUGUUUGACUUGAGAAGCCAAAACAAAUUGGUCAUUCCUAUGUCCAAUUUUACUCAAAUCUACAAGGGUAAAUCCAAGUUCGUCGACUACAAGACCAGAACUAUCUAUCCAAUCACACCUAAAGACUGGGAUUGUAAACUUUUGGUAGUCAAGGUCCCAAAUUUCUUGAAUGACACCAUAGAAACCCAUAUUUGAGAGAAUUGGGUUUUUAUCCUUGGCACUAGCAACUUGCAUGGUAUGUGCAAGUAAAUAAACUCCACUAUUUUGAGUUGUCCGCACAUCAUCUUGUGCCUUGAUAUUGAAUUUAAUACCUUUAAUAAGAUAGCUCCUAUAUAAUGGCACUGACAUGUUUGGACCAGCUGCUAGCCACCUUAAAUUUUCUGAUACGCCAUGAUUGUCUUCCUCAAGUUCACUUUGAACCUGCAAAUUAAUCAUAUCUUAAUUCAAUCUAAUAUAUAAAUAAGAAGAAAAUUAAAAGAGAAAUAUGUUAUUCAACAAUAUAUACCUUGAAGCGUAGCCAUUGAAUGAAAGUGCUAUUGUGCUUAUCCUGCAGCCACUUUGUUCUUUUUCUAAAUUUUGGAUAAGCAGUCUUGAUGUGAAUCAUAUGUUGCCUACAUGACACGAAAAAUUCAAGCAUUAUGGUCCUAAAUAUAGAAGAUAAACAUAAGAAAUAAUUUAAAAUGGAAACUUAAAGAAUAAAGCUCAUACGUACUCGAUAUAAGGUAGGACUUCCUCCGUAUUCUCCAAGACAUAUAGAUGUGCUUGAUUCAACAGGUCCUGAUCAACUACGCUCACUGUGCAACCUGAUAAUGGCUUUGAAAGUCCCAUCUUUUGGCUUGAAGGCACUCCAACUGUACUAACAUCAGAUAAAUGCUGAGUACAACACUCUACCGCUUCUUCAGCUAUAUACCGCUCAGCAAUGCAACCUUCGGGACGAGUACGAUUCUGAACAUACCCCUUCAGCACUUUCAUAUAUCUUUCAAACGGAUACAUCCACCUAAAAUAUACUGGCCCACAUAGACGAACUUCUCUGACAAGAUGUACUACUAGAUGAACCAUGAUAUCAAAGAAUGAAGGGGGAAAGUACUUCUCAAGCAAACACAGAGUAACUACUACAUCUUCUUCCAACUUAUCUAGCUUGGAAACAUCAACAGUCUUUGCACAUAUAGCAUUGAAGAAGAAGCACAAACGAGUUAUUGCAUACCUUGCAGGCUUCUCCAAAACAGAACGAAUUGCCACAGGGAGCAAUUGUUGCAUUAAGGUAUGACAAUCAUGUGAUUUAAGGCCAAGAAGUCUUGAAUCUUGUAAAGAUACAAGAUUUUUAAUAUUUGAAGAAUAACCUUCAGGGACCUUCAUACCAUAGAAAGAAUUGCAAACCUCUCUCUUCUCUGCUCUUGACAAAUUCCAAGGCCCAGGAGGCAAACGAGUACGUCUUUCUCCAUACUCGGGUUGCAAAUCAGUUUUGACCCCCAUGUUCAAUAAAUCUAAUCGAGCAGCAAUCCCAUCUUUAUUUUUUCCAGGGAUCUCCAGCAAUGUACCAAUGAUACUAUCGCAAACAUUCUUCUCAAUGUGCAUAACAUCUAGGGCAUGCCUUACAGGAAGGUAUUUCCAAUACUCGAGAUCAAAGAAUAUUGAUUUCUUCUUCCAACAAACUCUGUCACCAUUUUCAACCAUAUGCAGCACUUCUUCUCCGGUUAAUGGCUCGGGAGGUAUGCCAUAUUCAGGUUUCCCAUUAAAAGCUGCACGUUGCCUCCUAUAUGGAUGAUUGAUUGGUAACCAUUUUCUAUGCCCAAUGUAACAAAUUUUGUGGCCAUUUUUCAACCUGUGACUAGGUGUAUCAUCGCCGCAUAUUGGACAAGCUUUAUAUCCUUUAACAACACAACCAGAUAAGUUUCCAUAGGCGGGGAAAUCAUUAAUUGUCCACAUUAAUGCAGCUCUGAGUGUAAAGUAUUCUCCAUUAUGUGCAUCAUACACUCCUCUAAUCCCAACCCACAAGGAUUUUAAAUCAUCAAUCAAAGGCUCCAAGUAGACGUCUAUAUCAUUUCCGGGUUGUUUAGGACCGGAAAUCAAUAAGGUUAACAUCAUGAACUUUCGUUUCAUGCACAGCCAUGGAGGGAGAUUAUAUGUAACUAAGAUAACCGGCCAACAACUAUAUCUGCUACUUAGAGAACUGUGGGGAUUGAAUCCAUCAGAUGAAAGAGCCAAUCUCAAGUUUCUCGGCUCAUUACCAAACUCAGGCCAUUUAUCAUCAAGAAGUUUCCAAGACGGGGAAUCCGCCGGAUGAGACAUCUAACCGUCAAUUGAUUUUCUAGCAGCAUGCCACCAAGUCAAACUCCUAGCUGUCUCAUGUGAUUGAAACAUCCUUUUAAACCUUGGAAUUGGGGGAAAAUACCACACCACCUUCGCUGGCACACCCUCUUUCAAGAUUGAAUCUUUGCCUUCCUUCCACCUUGAGAUACCACAAGUAGGACAAUUAGUUGAAUCCUCAUACUCCUUCCUAUACAAGAUGCAAUCAUUGGGGCAUGCGUGCAUUUUCUCAUAACUCAGCCCCAAUGCACACAAAGUCUUUUUAGCCUCAUACAUGGAGGUUGGUAUUGUAUUUCCUUCUGGAAGCAAAUCGCCUUGAAGUAUCAAUAAUUCUGUAAAACAGACAUCACUCAUCCCAUGUUUUGCCUUCAAAUUAUACAACUUCACUAAUGCCGAUAACUUCGUGUACUUUCUACAACCAGGGUACACUGGUUGAUCUCCAUCCCCAAUCACAUUGGCAAACUCAUACGGAUCCGAACCAAAAUCACCAAAAUCAUUAUCAUCCAUAUCAAUUUCUUCAGACACAAAACUGUACCUACUAUGGCCAUCAUCUUCUUCAACAUUUCUACUAGCAUUAGUAGUUGCUUCCCAAGGUUCUCCGUGAAAUGUCCAAUUCUUAUAGCUUUGGUCAAUUCCAUUAAAGUAUAAGUGAUCCCUUAUAAUUCCAACCCCAAGCAACUUCAAAUUAACACAUUUAACACAUGGACAACGGAUAUGUGUUGUAGUUAGAAGAUUUUCUACAGCAAAGUUCAAAAAUGCUUCCACCCCAAAUUCAUAUGCCUUCGAUCUUCUAUCCGAGUGCAUCCAUGACUUAUCCAUCUCCGACACUAUAACCUAUUAUCUAUAAUAAAGUGAAAAUACAGGCAAUGACCAUCACUAUAGCAGAUUAUACAAUGAUCUAAUCGCAAGUAAUACACAACAGAGACGACAGGUUUUAAACAAAAACAGACGUAUUUGGCAUAUAUAGACGACGGAUUUUCAACAGACGUCGUCUAUUAUAAGUAAUACAAACGACGGUUUAUGAAAAAACCGUCGUGUAUAAGUAAUACAACGACGGUAGUUUAAAAACACCGUCGUGUAAUCGUCGUCGUAUGCCUUAAAAUUCGUCGUGUCUCAGUUUAUUUUCAAGAACACAAAACCCAUUAAGAACACAACAUAUAUAUGAAACCAAGCAAGAAACCAACAUAUACAUGAAACCAAGCAUGAAAACAAUAAAUCCAUUCCCAAUUCAACAUAACAUAGGGUGAUUAAAAGAUACGACAAAAUUAAAUCCAUUCCCAAUUCAACAUAACAGAUAAUGUAAUCCAUGAACCCAUUAAACAGAAAAUCCAUGAACCCAUACCUAUAAGCACAUUAUUAACAGAUCGCAAAGCAUACACAUAAAACCCUUUAACAAAACAACCUAAUAUAACUCAAUGAAUUUACAAGGGGAAGAUAGGGUUUGUACUUACAGGUUGGACGAGCUCACAGAUUCGACGGAGCCUGGAGAGUGCAACUUUUAAUUAGAGCAGAAGUGAGAGAGCAAAAUGUUAUGUCGCGCGAAAUCUGAAAAUUUUAGGUUUCAGGGUUCGAAGUAUAAGAAUAAGAGCCAAAUCUAAAAAAAUUUAGGUCGCGCGAAAAUUUUUAGAGUUCGCGCGUUUUAAAACGUCGAAAGAAAAACCAAGGCGAAAGUUCUACACGUACCGACGUAAAUUUAAUAUUCCACGACGGAAACUUCAUUUUUCGGAUUAAGAACGUAAGGCCGUUCAUUUUGAAGCUUCAUUUUUCGGAUUAAUUUUAAAUUUAUUUUGAAUUUUUUAUAUAACGACGACUGAAAAACCACGUCGGUGUUAAGAAAUUAAAGACGUUGUAAAUUAUAUAAACCGACUUACAUAUUAAAAUGACGUCGUUUAAAGCGUAAACCAUGUCGUAUGUUUUUCUGUACGACGUAAAAUAUGUAUUCCACGACGCAACCACCGUCGUUAAAAAUUAAUACCCAAAACCCAUAAAACUAAAUUAUACAAUUUAAAAAAUUAAGUUUAUAAAAGGUUUUAUGGUUUUAAAGCCUAACAUAUACCCUAGACUACCCAAAAAUUAUACUUUAAAAAUAAACCCCAAUAAAUAACAACCCUAAUCUCUAAACCCUAGACUCUAAACCCUAAACCAUAAAACUAGAAGUGAUUUUAUGACUCAUCAAAACAAUUUUGUUUUGGAUGGUCAUUUUAAAUUUUUGUUAUUCAAAAUGAAUUUUUUCAAGGUUUAUGUGGAAGAAAAUAUAUCAAUGACUUCAUAGGAGUUGACUUUUCAAUUUUCUGAUUUAUUUUAAAUUUAUUUUGAAUAUUUUGAUAUAAAAAUAAUAAAAUAUUCUUACCACAACAACAAACCACGUCGGUGUUAAUAAAUUGUAGACGUUGUAAAUUGUAAUAGACUACUAAGUCGUUAAAAUGACGUCGUUAAAAUGAGAAACCAUGGCGGCUAUUUAACUAUACGACGUAAAAUAUAUAUAUCAACGACUUAACCGCUGUCGUUACAUAAACGUCGUCGAUGAUACCCUGAACCCUUAAGAAAUUGAAGAUGUUGUAAACCAUAAACGACUCAAUUGUUCAAAGAACGUCGUCUAACUAUAUUUUUACGUCGUAUUUGUUUAAAACACGAAACAACAAAAUACGACGGUUUUUGACUUUAUUAGGUCGUUGGAAAAGUAUUACACGUCGGUUAAGCAAUUUGUAUGUUUGUUUUUUUUUAAAUUUAAGAAAACCUCAACAAAUUUUUACAUUACAUAUUAUAGAGAAAAUUUGUACAUUAUACAUAAAUAUCAAGUGUUCAAUAAUUUGGAAAACAAACUCUGCCCAUUCAUUCCGGACUUCAUCAAUGGCUUCUUGGGGGUAUGAAGCUUCCUGGUUUCCCUUGGCAUACUGCAUAAACAAUGACUAUUAGGGUUUAUAAAUAAAAAGAAAUUCAAUCACAGACGACGAUAUUUUUCAUAACCGACGUAGUAUAUCCAUUCAACGACGUUAAUUUUACAUGACCGUCGUUGAUAAUACAAAAAACGACGUGAAAUGUAUGAAGGUAAUUUCUUCUUACCUUAUUCUCAAACCCCAAGGAAGGAUCCAUGAUGAUGUCCCUCAUGAAGCGCAUCACAUAAUACCCGCAUUCGACAUUGCUGGGUUGCUUUGGUGUGCCUGAGAGAGUUUUCCAAAUUACAUUUUUACGUCCUGCUCGGCCUAUGUGGGUAUUAUAUAUUUUUAAAGCACUGUUCACGAUGUUUUUCGCCUCUUCGUCGACCACACGAUGACCUGGCAGAGGAUCCAGAAAAUAGACGGUCUCCUUCUUUGCUCUUACAAUCAGCAAGAUCCAAUGACGGCUGCACAAAAUUAAUAUAAAAACGACGGUUAUUUACAAAAACGACGUAUUAUAGUAUUUCACACGACGAAAUAAAGUAGAUAACGACGACAUUAUAUAUUUAUCACGACGACAAAUAAAUACCGACGUGGUUAGUAGUUUCAAACGACUAAAUAAAAUAAAACACCGACGUGGUUAGUUUAUAAGCUGUCAUUUAUUGAAAAUCAUAAAAACAAAAUCCUAAGGAGACUAACCCUGGAUUGUAAGGCAUCAUGAAAAGCUGUUCACCGUCUGUCUUCUGAAGUCGAGCUGCUACCAGUCGUGAUCUUUCAGUUAUUGUGCCAGAGUUGGCACUAACUGUAGCAGGGUCAAUAAAGCCAACCAUGCUGCACAUAUUGGCUUGUUUCAAAACAUCGUGUAAGUACCUAAAUACAUAAAAUAAUAUAAACAAGUCAGCAAAAACAAACACGACGGUUAUGUAUAAAACAACGACGUAUUAUAAUAUUUCACACGACGUACUGAAAUAGAUAAGGACGUUAUAAUAUAUUUAUCAUGACGGUAGUUAGUUAAGACGACGUGGUUAGUUAGUUAAGACGACGCAAUAUAUAAACCAACGAGUUAUUAUCUUAGAAGUACAAACCUCAUAUAUACAGCCAAUACAGUAGCUCCAAUUUCUUCCAUGCCUGCAAAUUGUGUAAUAUCUUCAGGCAGGAGGAAGGUAUCGCGCUCACCACCAAACACCUCCUUAUCAAUUGUAAAUUGGAGUGUCUUAUCCUCAGGCAGGAGUGUCGUUUCCACAAAACGACAAAGGGUUUUUAAAGAAGAUGGCGCCUCCAUAUUUGAAUAAGCACCAACUUCAAUAACCUGUUUAAAGAAAUAAAAAAAAUGACGUGGUAAUUCAAUAAAGACGACGGUUUAAGGAAUAAAACGUCGUCUUAAAAGGAUUUAAACGACGGUGAAAAAAUUGUCGUGGUAAUUCAAUAAAGACGACGGUUUUAUUAAUAAAGCGUCGUCUGAAACCAUUUAAACGACGGUGCAAAAACCGUCGUUUAAAUAUUUUAUUACGUCUUAAAAAAAGUCCGCCGUCUAAGUUUUAAACAAACGACGGAUUAAAUAAAAAUAUCGACGUCUGAAAUUUUGAAAAACAAAUAAAAAAGGCAAAGUUAUGUGAACAUACCUUGUCGUCAUGCUUUUCUUCAUCUUCUUUCUCCUUUUCUUCUUCCUUCUCUUCAUCUCUUUUUUCUUCUUCCUUCUCUUCAUCUGGCUGAUGUUUUCCCCAUUUUGGGCAGUAUCAUCCUCCAAAUGUAGGGGAUCUCACAUCACCCUCCAGAGCAGCUAGCUUUGUCAGACAUUGGAUUUUUGGGGCUUUGGGCUAAUUCUUGGGUUAAGCGAUGGCUUGGAUCAAAUUGGGAAUUUAAUUGGGAAAGCUGACUCAGGAAAUGCUCCCUCUCAGCCUCUACCAAUUGUUUUGUCCUAGCCUCCAUCCUUAAGGCCUCUUCCCUUGCCUUAGCCUCCAUCUUUUUAGUCUCUUCUUGAAGGAGAACUCUUAAACUCUCCUUCAAACGGUCGUCAAAGCUCACCCUCUGUGGUUUGGGCAAAUUGAAAUAUUGCCUUGGGGAAACACCAGCACCAACUCCCCUCAGUCUGCCUGGAUGCUCGGGGCCCAAAGCCAUGGUCAGCACAUCAUUGCUGCCAUCUACUCUGACUUUGCCUUCCGAGACUUGUUUCUGCAAUUCAUCCUAAAAAAAGAUAAACAAAAAAACACACGACGGUUAUUUAUGUACAAACGACGUAUUAUAUAAUUUCACACGACGCAAUAACGUAUAAACCGACGUUAUUAUAACUUAUCACGACGGUAGUUAUACCGACGUGGUUAUUUAUUUAAAACGACGAAAUGAAUAAACAACCGACGUCUUAUGCUAUAAUUAAAGAUAACAGAGUAGUGAUUCCUAUUUAGACCAUUAACGACGUUUUUAAAAAAGUUUCGACGUGGUAAUAUCAUUCACACGACGCGAAAAUGAACCACCGACGUCUUAUGCUAUAAUUACAGAAAACAUAGUAGUGAUUCCUAUUUAGACCUUUAACGACGUUUUUAAAAACUUUUCGACGUGGUAAUAUCAUUCACACGACGAAAAAUAUAACAUACGACGUAAUAAGAAUAAUUCAAAGUUUAAUAAAAAUUUAAAACAGAGUGAUAGUAGGCUUACAAUUAAUUUUGCUUUCUCUGCCACCUUUGGAUCAGGGAUGUUACCAUGUUUGUCCUGUCUAGCUCUCUUCCAUAGGGUAGAUCGAUCAAUUUCUACCCCAGGCAUGGUUUCCUCCAAUUGAUCCUCCAAUCCAGCAUAUCCUUUUCGAGACAAUCGAUGAUUGUACUCGAGUUUCUCCCUAAUCUGUGCAUGUUGAGAAUGCACAGACUCAAAAUCUUUGGAUAGCCUUGAAGCUACAAAGGCAUCCCAUUGUGCUUUCUCUAUGAAUUUAUAUGUUUCAGGGGGUUGGCUUAAUUUCUCCCUGUCAUUGGUGUAUGGAAGGAUAUAAUGCCUCGUUAGUGUAGACUUGAAAUCCUUCCAUUUCUUGGAAGCAGAAGCUAAAACAGAGGUCUUGCCCCCUUGGCCUACGACAAAAGCCAUGUCAACUGCUUCCCAAAUCUGCUCCUUUAUAUCCUUGGGGAUUUGGGACCAUUUCUUGUCCACAAGUGGGAUCCUGGAGCGUGCCAACACACCAAUAUACGACUGCAUCUCAAUAUGUGCUUGGCCAACACCUUUCCCCCUUUUAUUGUACUCAACAAUUGGCCUCAGUUUCUGAAGCUUUCUCUUCACAACACGAGGCAUUGUGCUCAUACCUCGACCAGUCUUUGAAUCAUCAGAGAUUGUUGUCUGGCUGGUUUGUUCUGUCUCAGCAGAUGAUGAAGCAAACUUCAUAUUCUUCGAAGACUUCAUCUCCUUCGAAGACUUGUCUUGAGGAGCUACCAUUCCAAGCUUCUUGGAGCCAGAAUCCUUAGUUUGUUGUUGAGAAACCAUUUUAACAGACAAAACUGCAAGUGAAAAUAUUUCAGGAAAACAUUAAGAACACAAACGACGGUAUUAAAAAAAUACGACGUAUGAUAUGAUUUUAGACGACGCAAUGAAAUAAUCUCAGACGUAAUAAAUGUUUAAAACCAUUAUUUAUAUAACGUCGUGGUAUAUAUGUUCACACGACGUCAAUAGUAAUACACCGUCGUGGUAAACUAUUAUUUAUAUAACGUCGUGGUAUUUAUGUUCAUACGACGUCAAUAGUAAUACACCGUCGUGGUAUUAACAUUCACACGACGUAAAACAAUAAGAUAUUUUGUCGUCUAUAUUAGAUACCAACCCUAGUUUCUUUUUCUUUAUAUUUUAUCAAAUAAGGGAAAAACAAAAACCAUUGUUCAGAGAAAUCAAACCUGCAAUUAAACAAGCAUAUAAAAAAAGACUAUUAUUUUAAAAACAACUUUGUCAAUUUUCAGACGACGCUAGAACAACUGACGAACCGUCGUGGUCUACGGUCGUCUUAUUUAGUUGAUGUAGUUGUCUUCAAAGUUGGAAACUUUCCCUCUUUGUCUGUAUAUUUUAUCAAACUUGGAAAGAAGUAAAAUGAUUUUGGCCAGAAAAAAGGUAAAAAGAUUUUUCAAACAAAAAACGUAUGAGCAUGCAAAACAGUAACCAAAAUAGUGAAAAUGAAAGCUUACCUUUUGCGUGCAAUGAAAGCAAGAGGAAGAUGAUCGAUGUUUAAGUUCAGAGACGACGAAGAAGACGAGAGGAAGACGAUGAGAAACUCUGACAAUGCUCUGACAAGGAAAAAAGACGAAAAGGUUUCUCUGGGAGAUUGAAAUUUUUAAUCGGGUUUGGAAACAGUGCAUGUGUAAGUCGAAAAGUUGCUUACAUAUAAAACCAUUUCAAAAAAAUAAUACGGCGGUUACAUUUAACUACGUCGUUUUUAACUAACACGACGCAAUAUUUUUCGUUCGACGUGGAAUCAUUUCAUUUAACGUCGUUAGGUUUAAUAUAACCGACGUGGAUUUUAAUUUUUAAAUUAUGAAUAGAAUUUUUUUUCCCGUGACCUUUCAGUUUAUUUUUCAAUUACAGUGCGUUAUAAAUAGAGUUUUUUUUCCGGAGGAAAUUUAAAACGAAGGAAAUUAAUAUUCUGCAAUAUGUAAAGUUUCUUUUUUGGAUGACAGAUUUAAAUAAAAUAAGAAUAUAAAAACAACAAAUGUGUAAGUCAAGUAGACGAAAAGUUGCUUACAUAUAAAACCAUUUCAAAAAAAUAAUACGGCGGUUACAUAUAACUACGACGUAUAAAUUACAAAAUACGACGGUACAUUUAACUUCGGACGUGGUAAAUAAAUACGACAGUAGUUUGUAGGUACCGUCGUAGUAAACUCAAAAAUUAAAGUACAUAAGUAAUAACUCGCGUCAUGGUAGAUUAUUUAACACGUCGUUUUUAUUAAUUUACCGACGUGGAUUUUUGUAAUAUACGUCGAUCAUACCGACGUUGAUUUUACAAUUUAAACGGCGGUUGUUUUGUAAGGACCGCUGUUGGUUUUAAAAAUUUAUUCUAUAAAUUUGUCGCUUUCAUUCAUUUUCGGUUUACAUUUAAGGUUCCAAGUUCUUCCUCUCUUACUCGCAUCAAAUAUAUGUCCACAAGAAGAAGCUUGUCAACUAGCCUUCUCACUUCCUUGAUCAAGCCUGAUAGGACACUUAGUGCUUCUGAAUACUCCUUGCUUUCCAUCAAAAGAGAUGCAAGCCUGGCCUCCACUCGCUGUCGAAGGAAAGUUCGCUUCUCAGGGAAAUCUGAAGAUCAGAUGUGCCUGAUCCUCUGCUUGAUUUUCUUGCCUAAGAAGAUCCGUCGGAUUUGUGAUAGCCUCUUCCUUUAUCCGUAGAGCUUCAGAAGAAGAAGAUGGGUUUCAAGAAUGCGAUAAAGAAUAGAAAUGGCUUCAGAUGGCCUCUAAAGCAUGGGCAAUUGAAUCAGUAGUUUCUGGGAGAUAUGAUGAAGACAUUGUCAAUGCUUUGAACUACACAAGUCCUGCAGAAAGAUAUGUUAAAGAAACUGAAACAACGGCGGUUUUCUGUUCUACCGUCGUCUUUUCUCGUCGUCUAUAUUAAGUUAAGAUGGCGGUAGAUUUAUAAUUACCGACGUAGAUUAUUUUGUUAAACGUCGUUAAGUGUACUACAACCGACGUGGAUUUUAAUUUUAAAUUAUAAAUAGAGUUUUUUUUCCCGUAUUCUUUCAGUUUUAGUUUUCAAUUCCAAAGCGUGAUAAAUAGAUUUUUCUUUCCCGAGGAAAUUUAAAAUGAGGGAAAUUAAUGUUCUAGAAUUUGUAAACUAACACGACGCAAUAUUUGCAAAUCUGUGUCAUCUGUUAAGAUUAUGAUGUGGAACAGAGUUCCAUCUGGUAAGAUUUCGUAACCCUUGGGAUCUCAGACAAAUCUGAUUAUGUCGGCGGUGUUCUAUAUAAACCGUCGUGGUUAUUUCAAUUCUUGUCAUUAAGUAGAUCUACCGACGUAGGAUAAGAAAAUCAAAGAAAAAAAUUGUUAACAAAAAUUCUUAUUAAGACGACCGUUAAAAUUAAAGGUACGACGUAUAAAAUGAAUAAAUACGACGAUAAAUUUUAUUGUACGAUUUAAAGAUAACGUCGUAGAACUAUACGAGAAUGACGUCGUUAUAUUUAUAUUUUCCGUCGUUGUAAAUUAAUUUAAUACGGCGAUAUUUUGUAUUUUAAAGCCGUGGAUUUGUUUGUAAUUAUACGGCGUCUUAUACGAAAACCUCGUCGUGUUAUUUUAUGAGUAAAAACGGCAGUUUUUAUUGAAAUCGUCGUCUUUACUUUCUACGUCGGUCGAUUCAUAACUUCUGCCGUUCUUUGUUGGCAUUGAUUUUACACUGCGGAAAUCUGUUUCAAAUAGACGUCGGUUGUUUAAUUAUGUACGUCGUUGUUUUUGAACAGCCAUUUGAAACUCCAUUUUUUUAGUUGUCUAAGGUUGUAUUACACGACGGUGUUUUUAGAACCGUCGUCUUUUUAUAAACCACGACGGUUUUCACUUAGACCGUCGUUGUUUUCUGGUCGUCUUUUUCACUUUUUGUAGUAGUGAAAUACAAAAUCUAAAACUAAAACCAAAAGUAAAUGCAAUGCAAUAGAAAAUAACACUAUUUAAAUCUAAAAUUUAACCUUUCGAGGCUUGGAAGAACUCUUAAAUUCCUCAAUUCUCGAUGCAUUAUCGAUAUUAUUAGCAAACUCUAUCUCAAUGUGGAGGAUCAUACAGUCAGUAAGAAAUUCAUCAGCUAAGUUGCUUCGAAGUCAAUUCUUAAUAAUUCUCAUACAUGAGAAAGCUCGUUCUGUUGUUGCUGUAGAAAUAUGAAGAGUCAACACCAACCGAAUCAAUCUGUCAAGGAAAAUAUAGUUUUCUGCCAAAGUUGUUUCCACCAAUUGUUGACAUAACUGAGGAAGAGUAGUGGUUUCCUUAAAGCAAGGAAAGAGAUGCAUAUUAUUUUGACAAUGUACUAGAUGAUGACCCAUCAUUCUUUUUCUUAAAAAAAGACAACAAAUUCUUUGUUCUCUUGGGAUUCCGAUUGUGAUCCGACAUAAUAAAAGAUAGCCUAUGAAUUAGAAAAAAACUUAAUCAAACAUACCAACAAAAAAUCAAACAAAUUCUCAUAAUAGCAUCUCAACAAAACCAAAUCAAAAAUUAUAAUUCAUCCAUAAUUAAACACUAGAAUACUCAAUUUUAACAAAAUCUCAAAUCAAAGCUUUAGAAUAAAUCCCUAAUCAAAGCCCUAAUUAAUUUCAAAAAAAUCUUAAAAUUAUAAUUCAUCCCUAAUUAAACCCUAGAAUACUCAAUUUUAAAUUAAAACUAUAAUUAAAGAUAUAUAGCAAAGGAGAAGGAGAGAAUGAGAAUGAUACCUUGUUGGUGACAAAAGGAGAGGAGAAGAUGUUGUUGCCAAGUUGCCCACCCAAGAUAAUAGAAGAUGUAGCCAAUAGAAGAAGAAUUUGACCCAAAAAAAGAAGAAGAGAGAAACUUGCUGCUGCUGUCUGGUAGCAAAGAGAGAGAAAGAGAGAGAGAGAGAGAGAGAGAGAGAGAGAGAGAGAGAGAGAGAGAAACAAGUAUUCUAAUGGCCAAAGAGAAAGAUAGAAAAGAUGGGACCACAUGGAUGGGCAACAUAUGGGUAGGGUUUGUUUUUAAUUCUUUUUAUUUUUGGACUAGGCUUAUAACACAUAUAGGUCUCUUUUUUUUUUUUUGAAAAUUUUUGGGCUGGGUGCCUGGGCUGGUCGUGUCCUAUAAGAAUCUGUAUAAUUUAAGGCCAGUUUCGAUAAUUAACCCUACUUAAUCAACAACAACCCAAGUUUUAGAAUUGUUCUUCUUCGAGUUGAAAUUGUUAUGUUGUUGACUUCAAAAAAUAAAAUAAAAUAAAAAGACCUAAGUUAAGGAAACUUAGGAUGAUAGUCCAUCUCCUUUCAUGAAUGUAUAAUGUAUCAUAGGCCAACGGCAAUAUUAUGUUUAGCUAAUCAAAUUUGUUUUGUCUUGUUCGGAUUUUACUGUUUGGAUUGGCAUUUACUCCAGCAAAAUGUAAAUACGAAAAAACAUAACUUUAUUUGUAUUAAUGCAGAUAAGAUUAAAUUGAGGAUUUCACUAGUAAACUCAUUUUAGCGUGACAUAAUAUACAAAAGCCCUUAUAGAGCCUAUUUAGUCACUUGUUAUUUUCUAAUUGGUUCUUUUAAAAUUUUACUAUCCAAUUAGAUACCCAAAAAAAAAAAAUAGAAAAUGACAUACUAAAAUGAGUUUUUGAAUAAAUACUUGACCAAAGAGUCGUCACCUUAAAUUAGCUAACAAAAAUAUUACUUGAAUACAUUAAUUAAAACCAAAGUUUAUCAGUCCUCUCAAUAGCAAUAUAGAAUCUCAUUAGGAUUUUAAUUAGAUUAACAAAUACGGAUAAGAUUAAGUUGAUAGACUCUCAUUAUCUAACUAGUACUAGUAAUCCUGCUAGACACAGGAGGUUUUGCACUAUAAAUACCUUAUCAAACCCACCUGAUUUUGUACGCUUAAUUCCAUCGAUCCUUCCAAGUUGUUUUCUUUUCGUUUUCUCUGGUUCAGUUUUUAUUGCUUCAAGUAGUUUUCUUAGCUUUCUCAGAUUUAUUUUUGAGUGAAAGAGAUAGAGCAAGAGUUAGAAGAAGGUAACAAUGGCUGGGGGCGGUAUAGCUCCAUCGAGUGGUAGAAAACAAUACCCCGGUAAACUCACAGCUAGGGUUCUUAUAACAUGUAUUGUUGCGGCUACCGGUGGUUUGAUUUUUGGGUACGACCUUGGAGUUUCAGGUAUGUAACUUCUUUUUUUCACAACCUAGUUUUAUUUUAUGUAUGCAUGCAUCCUUUAAUUUCUAGAAUUACCAUGCAGUGUUUAUAAGAAUAUACAUAACAUCGUAUUUGAUUUGGUGAUUAUGCAGGCGGUGUGACAUCCAUGGACUCUUUCUUGAAACAGUUCUUUCCAGCAGUUUACCAGAAAGAAUCUUCGAUCAAGCCUUCCGACGAUCAGUACUGCAAAUUCGAUAGCCAGACACUUACACUUUUCACAUCUUCGCUAUAUUUGGCUGCUCUAGUUGCAUGCAUUUUUGCAUCAACUAUAACCAGAGUGUGUGGUCGGAGGCUCACAAUGAUCUUGGGUGGAGUUCUUUUCUUGGCUGGUGCCUUGGUCAAUGCCUUUGCUAAUGCUGUUUGGAUGCUUUAUGUUGGUCGUCUUCUUCUUGGUUUUGGUAUUGGAUGUGCCAAUCAGGUACCCAUGAUUAUGAUUUUCUUUUUUGCUAUAUAGAUUAUACUUUAUGAAUUUUAGGUUAUUUGCAAUCCAGUUUGUUAUUUCGCGUACUUUUUACAAACCCUAAUCCAUUUGUUUUAAUUCUUUUUGAGCAGUCUGUGCCUAUCUAUGUCUCUGAAACAGCCCCAUCUAAAUACCGUGGUGCUCUCAACAUGAUGUUCCAAUUGUCGAUCACAAUUGGAAUCCUUGCUGCUGGUGUGCUUAACUAUUUCUUUGCCGAGAUCAAAGGCGGUGGGGGAUGGCGUUUGAGUUUGGGAGGUGCUGCAGUCCCUGCCAUUAUAAUCAUAGUUGGAGCAUUGUUUUUACCCGAUACACCAAACUCCUUGGUCGAGCGUGGCAGGCAUGAGGAAGCCAAAGCUCAGCUUCUUAAGCUCAGAGGAGUUCCUAAUGUUGAUGAGGAGUUUAAUGACCUAGUUGCGGCCAGUGAAGCAUCCAAGUUGGUAAAACACCCAUGGGUUAGCUUGUUGAGCAGGAAAUAUAGACCCCAGCUUGUGUU